AUGGUUAGCCGACCUGAGAGGGUGAUCGGCCACAUUGGGACUGAGGCACGGCCCAGACUCCUACGGGAGGCAGCAGUAGGGAAUCUUGCGCAAUGGACGAAAGUCUGACGCAGCAACUCCGCGUGGAGGAUGACGGUUUUCGGAUUGUAAACUCCUUUUAUUUGGGAAGAACAGUCAGCAUAGGUAAUGAUGCUGAUUUGACGGUACCAUUUGAAUAAGCGACGGCUAAAUACGUGCCAGCAGCCGCGGUAAUACGUAUGUCGCAAGCGUUAUUCGGAAUCACUGGGCGUAAAGAGUUCGUAGGCGGAUUCGUAAGUCAGAAGUGAAAUUUCGGGGCUCAACCCUGAAACUGCUUUUGAAACUGCGUAUCUUGAGUAUGUGAGAGGAAGAUGGAAUUCCUGGUGUAGCGGUGGAAUGCGUAGAUAUCAGGAAGAACACCGGUGGCGAAGGCGGUCUUCUGGCACAAUACUGACGCUGAGGAACGAAAGCGUGGGGAGCGAACAGGAUUAGAUACCCUGGUAGUCCACGCCGUAAACGAUGGACACUAGUUGUUGGAGGGCUUGACCCUUCAGUGACGUAGCUAACGUGUUAAGUGUCCCGCCUGGGGAGUACGUCCGCAAGGAUGAAACCCAAAGGAAUUGACGGGGGCCCGCACAAGCGGUGGAGCAUGUGCUUUAAUUCGAUGCAACGCGAAGAACCUUACCUGGUCUUGACAUACCACUGACCGUCCUAGAGAUAGGAUUUUUUCUUCGGAAACAGUGGAUACAGGUGCUGCAUGGUUGUCGUCAGCUCGUGUCGUGAGAUGUUGGGUUAAGUCCCGCAACGAGCGCAACCCUUGUCCUUAGUUGCCAGCGAGUAAUGUCGGGAACUCUAAGGAGACUGCCCACGCAAGUGGGAGGAAGGUGAGGAUGACGUCAAAUCAUCAUGGCCCUUACGACCAGGGCUAGACACGUGCUACAAUGGACGGUACAAUGGGUUGCUAACUGGUGACAGUAUGCUAAUCUCAAAAAACCGUUCUCAGUUCGGAUCGAAGUCUGCAACUCGACUUCGUGAAGUUGGAAUCGCUAGUAAUCGUGGAUCAGCAUGCCACGGUGAAUACGUUCCCGGGCCUUGUACACACCGCCCGUCAAGCCACGGAAGUUGGUUGCACCCAAAAUCGUUUCGUUAACCUUCGGGAGGCGAGCGACUAAGGUGAAGCCGAUAACUGGGGCUAAGUCGGAACAAGGUA
rnacentral:rRNA from 1 species